AAAGAUCUGUACAAGGACGUCAUGAUGGAGGAUCACCGGCCCCUCACAUCACCAGUUAAGGAAGAGAGAAGAACACCAGCGAGAUGUCCCAGUCCUCUUCUUCUACAGGAUGGUUCGGAAGAAUAUCACAAUGUCCCACUGGAUAAUCAGUUAGAUGGAGAUAAGCUUGUGAAUCCGGGUGAAGAUCUGAACAAUAUUAAUCCUACAGAGAAAUAUG